rnacentral:rRNA from 1 species
ACCAAGGCGCUUGAGAGAACUCGGGUGAAGGAACUAGGCAAAAUGGUGCCGUAACUUCGGGAGAAGGCACGCUGAUAGGUAGGUGAAGUCCCUGCGGACGGAGCUGAAAUCAGUCGAAGAUACCAGCUGGCUGCAACUGUUUAUUAAAAACACAGCACUGUGCAAACACGAAAGUGUCCUUCAUCGCCUCUGACUGCCAGGGCAUCCACCGUGUACGCUUAGUCGCUUAACCUCACAACCCGAAGAUGUUUCUUUCGAUUCAUCAUCGACUUGCGAAAAUUUGAGAGACUCGAACACACAUGAGCUGUGUGUCGUUUCAAUUUUCAGCUUGAUCCAGAUUUUUAAAG